AGUGAACGCUGGCGGUAGGCCUAACACAUGCAAGUCGAACGGCAGCACAGUAAGAGCUUGCUCUUACGGGUGGCGAGUGGCGGACGGGUGAGGAAUACAUCGGAAUCUACUUUUUCGUGGGGGAUAACGUAGGGAAACUUACGCUAAUACCGCAUACGACCUACGGGUGAAAGCAGGGGAUCUUCGGACCUUGCGCGAUUGAAUGAGCCGAUGUCGGAUUAGCUAGUUGGCGGGGUAAAGGCACACCAAGGCGACGAUCCGUAGCUGGUCUGAGAGGAUGAUCAGCCACACUGGAACUGAGACACGGUCCAGACUCCGACGGGAGGCAGCAGUGGGGAAUAUUGGACAAUGGGCGCAAGCCUGAUCCAGCCAUACCGCGUGGGUGAAGAAGGCCUUCGGGUUGUAAAGCCCUUUUGUUGGGAAAGAAAAGCAGCAGGUUAAUACCCCGCUGUUCUGACGGUACCCAAAGAAUAAGCACCGGCUAACUUCGUG
rnacentral:rRNA from 1 species